GGGAAAUGAGGAAUGGGUUUAAUCACGCAUAAUUGCGUGAAGAGCGUUCCGCUCAAAGCCUGUUACGACAAUUGGGCGCUCCAAUUUUCAAUUAAUCUGAUCCC
rfam:Eutrema salsugineum unplaced genomic scaffold scaffold_14, whole genome shotgun sequence.